GGCUUCGCCUCUAGAGAAAUCGGAGGAUGGUAAGAACCCGUGUUCGUGAAAUUCGGCACGGUCUCACAUCCAGCCUAUCUAGGCCCUGUCUCUCUAAUGACCUACCAUCCAUCGCGCUUUCCAUGCCUCAGCGACGCAGGUGGAGACUCCAGGACUUCAGUUGCGUAAAGACAAAAAGCACCAAAGUUAAUUGCCUGAAGAUUCGCAGCUAUUGAUCCUCACCCCGACUCCCCAAGGACUCUGAGCUUCUGGAAGAUGAAGAAACUGCUCACAUGUGGCCAAGAUCACAUAAGUAGGAGGUGGGGGAUUGAACCCACUCUGACUGACUCCAAAUUAAUACAGAGUUUGUAGCCACUUACGUAAUAAUGGUAAAGGCUUCGUUUAUUGCAAUGUUGUAUGGAUAAAUUCACUGAGGGUCAGCACAUCCUUAAAGGAUGCACAAAUGUCAGGAAGGAUCAGAAAAGAAAACAGAAAUAGCAGAGAAGCAGAAAAAAUAAAAUCUCCCAAAAUAAACUUAAAGGAAUUAAUAAAAACAGAUACUAAUGAAAUAGAAAAUAAAAUUAAUAGUAGCUUCUGUUUGAAAAGGACAAUAAAUAGGGCGCCUG